GAUGAACGCUGGCGGCGUGCCUAAUACAUGCAAGUCGAGCGAACAGACGAGGAGCUUGCUCCCCUGACGUUAGCGGCGGACGGGUGAGUAACACGUGGAUCACCUACCUAUAAGACUGGGAUAACUUCGGGAAACCGGAGCUAAUACCGGAUAAUAUAUUGAACCGCAUGGUUCAAUAGUGAAAGACGGUUUUGCUGUCACUUAUAGAUGGAUCCGCGCCGCAUUAGCUAGUUGGUAAGGUAACGGCUUACCAAGGCAACGAUGCGUAGCCGACCUGAGAGGGUGAUCGGCCACACUGGAACUGAGACACGGUCCAGACUCCUACGGGAGGCAGCAGUAGGGAAUCUUCCGCAAUGGGCGAAAGCUUGACGGAGCAACGCCGCGUGAGUGAUGAAGGUCUUCGGAUCGUAAAACUCUGUUAUUAGGAAAGAACAAAUGUGUAAGUAAAUAUGCACGUCUUGACGGUACCUAAACAGAAAGCCCCGGCUAACUACGUG
rnacentral:rRNA from 1 species